rnacentral:rRNA from 1 species
UACAGAGGUCCCAAGCGUUGUUCGGAUUCACUGGGCGUAAAGGGUGCGUAGGUGGCGAGGUAAGUCGGAUGUGAAAGCUCGGAGCUCAACUCCGAAAUGGCAUUGGAAACUACCUUGCUCGAGGGAUGGAGGGGGGACUGGAAUUCUCGGUGUAGCGGUGAAAUGCGCAGAUAUCAGGAAGAACACCCGUGGCGAAGGCGGCUCUCUGGGACGGUACUGACGCUGAGACGCGAAAAGCGUGGGGAGCGAACAGG